ACAAAGCAGGAGAAUACGUUUUUGAAGAAGAGAAUUUUUAGAACAGUUUGAUAACGCAAAUUAUUUUUUCUCAAUUGUUUGAGCAGCAUUCAAGUUUUGAAAAUUCUUGUAGAAGCCAAUUUUUUGUAACUGUGGUGCAAAUCUUGUGUUUUCUUAGCCUGAUGAAAAGUAGUAUAGAAGCAAUAUUUCAUACGUGACAUGUGCAUAUACAUAUACAUAUAUAGUCACACACACAAACUGUGUGGGUGUAUGUAUGUAUAUAUACACAGAAACACACACACACACAAAAUAUGCGUAUGAAGUGAAAAGCUUACCUUUUUCCUAUCUAGAUUAAGAACCUAUUUUAGACAUUUGUUAUGUUUUGUGAAAAGAAUGUUCUAUUUGAAACUACAAAACAUUUAAUUCUUACUGUAUCUCUGGUUGUUUAAUGGGAACGUUUCACAUUUAAUGGUAAACACGUGGAAGAUGUUAGAAUGUAGUAAUUAUUUAAGAAGGUGUUCACCCAUGUAAUCCUGAGGUUUGCUUUGUGCCUCUGAGUAUUAUUUAAUUAAAGUGUUUUAAGUUUGCAGAAUCUUUGUUACUGUACCAGGUAUGUGGGUGAACAUUGAAAAUCGAGGGGAACUUUUAUAAAGCAAUGUAAAUAUUCAACCUUAUGGCUGUUCUUGCAUAAAGACAUAAGAUUUUAAUAACUACAUUCUGAAAACAUCUGUUGAAUUUAUAAGAAACACUACAGUAACUGUAUAGAUAGUUGAAAGCAUUCUUGAAAAUCCAGCGCUCUACUUUUAAAAGUUAAGUCUCUUUCAUCAGAUGUCAAGGGAAUGGGUAAUACAGUUUCUGUAAAAUGGCAGAAUUUUUUUCUAUGUAUAUGAAGUCAGUUAAUAGAAAAGUGUUUUUUUCCACAGGUUAAUAUUAAUUAAGAAAUAAAGGUGAAGAUUUUGUGGCUUUAAAGAUAGGAUUUUCACCAGCAGCAUUGAAAGAUUAUACAUAUAUAUAUAUACAGAAAGAUAUAUAUAUAUAUUAAAAAUGGAAAGUGGUUUACAAAACCCCCAAAAUGAGCACUGUACAUGAGAAGUGAAAGCAAAAACUAUAUUUGCCAUGUGUAUUAUAUAGCAAUCAUUGGUGUUAAUAGUGCAAAUGUUUCCUUCUGGUACCAACUAUGUGUUUGAAAAUUCCAAUACGCAUUGUUUUCAAAAAGCUCCCCUUAAGGAAUGUAACUGGUUUAUAUGAGUAAGCAGUUACUGUAUUGCACUUAAAUGUUCUGUUGAAGGAAAUGCAAUUUUGUUUUCUGUAGAACUGUUGGUUGUAAACCAUCUAUAAACUGAAGCUAAAAAUGCUCAUAUUUAGAGCUGGGAUGAAAACUGGUAUUUAACCUUUGUAUCUUCUUAGGAAUAUCCUUUUUAGUGUAUGAAAGGUGGUGGCACUAUGACUUCAUUUAGUCUUUUCAUCUGAGCCACAGUCACCUCUCUCCCAAAGCAGCCACCUUCCAAAUGCACAAAUAUACUGGGAUAUGUAGAAACAAAUCUAGAAGAAACAGCGAGCUUACAUUUUUCUCUAAAAUCCAUCCUUUCUGCAUUAAUUGUACCACUCGAGUGAGAUAUUGGACAAAAACAAUAACCAUCUCAUUACCAUAUAACGUGCAAGAGUCAGAAACGUAAAAAGAAGGGGGGGGGGGGAAGCCUCUUUAGGUUGGUUUUAAUGCUGCCCAGAAGAGUCAAAGGUUAAGGUUUAAACUGAUAUUGUCCCAGCCAUUACUCAUAUGUAUAUAGUUACAAAAGUGACAAAACACUGCCUUUAUAUUAUUUAGCAAUAUGUUGUAAAUAGCAUUAUUAAGCUCUUUUUUUGUAAUAAAGACCCUUUAAUUUGAAGAUAGUACAAUAACUGAACUGAUAAAGUCAAUUUUUGAUUUUUUUUUAUUUUAUUUUUUAGCUAGAGGCAAUUUCAACUGUGGAUUUUUUUGUUGUUGUCUAUUGUUCUGAAGACUUUGCAUAAUUUAUUGGUUUAAUUUAUCCUAAUUUAUUUGAUGAAGGUGUACAAUUUUGUAUUACCAAGGAUGUACUGUAAUAUUAAUUGAUGACAAGAUAAAACAAUAAGACUCCCCUGUCCGUUUGGAAAAAAAGGUGCAGUAGACAAUUGAUUGAAAAAAGUUACAAUUCUAGCUUGGCAGCUACUAAAUUUAAGAUAAACACAGGAAAAAUGUUUGGGGGGGGUGGAUUUUAUUUUGUGUGUUUAAAGCUUUUGUAUACUCUCCAGACUUUUACCUUUUUGCUUUGUACCACUUAAAGGAUACAGUAGUUCAAUUGCCUUGUGUGCCUUCCAUCUUCUCUAAACUGAAUGUAUGUGCAGUAUAUAUGCAAGCUUGUGCAAAAUAAAAUAUAAAUUGCAAGCU